UACGAGGGGGGCAAGUGUUGUUCGGAAUCACUGGGCGUAAAGGGAGCGUAGGCGGAUGUUUAAGUUGGAUGUUUAAAACCGGGGCCUAACCUCGGAGCGGCAUCCAAAACUGGGCAUCUUGAAUAGGUCAGAGGCUGGUGGAAUUGGAGGUGUAGCGGUGGAAUGCGUAGAGAUCUCCAAGAACACCUAUUGCGAAGGCAGCCAGCUGGGACCAUAUUGACGCUGAGGCUCGAAAGCAUGGGGGAGCAAACAGG
rnacentral:rRNA from 1 species